GUCUGAGCGCACAGAGACCGUCGACUGCGGCCGCCAUGUUGGACAGGGAAAAGGCGCAGCCUUUUGCUGGGAUCACACGCUUCAGGUACGAGCCACAAAUAUACCUUCGUUUUCCUCUGGUUCCAACAUAAACGAGCCAAUCUACAGAAGGAGACCCUGCCAUCAGCGCCGACUAAAGGAGCGUCCUGCAGAUCCAGAGACUGGUGGCUCCUGGCAGUCAGUACCAGCGUGAGUCAUCUGCCACCGAGGCGUGGGCGUCUGAACUACCAGAGUCGCAGACGAAGCCAAAGUAAGUGAGAAAUUAAGAUGUUGGUGUGAACGCCUGCUCAGAUCUGAAGAACGAGUGGGUCCAGGCUCCGAUGAACGGCAUGUCCUCAGAAACCAGAUGAUGUGUUCAGGAAGCAAAGGGUUCCACCUCAAACACCUUCUGCUCCUCUGGAAGUUGGUGAUGGCGACAUGAAGCUUCAUGAAGCGCUGAGGUUUUCUGUCCAACUGUUCGACUCAUGAGCCGAUGCACCGUGUGCUUCAUUUGCUCCACUGCGCCAUCAAGUGGACAAUAUAUGUAAAAUAGGCAACAUGAAGCCUUACAAUAAAUAAACCAGUAAAUGAUGUUUGAUUCUGAAAC